rnacentral:rRNA from 1 species
AUUGAACGCUGGCGGCAGGCCUAACACAUGCAAGUCGAGCGGAUGAAGGGAGCUUGCUCCUGGAUUCAGCGGCGGACGGGUGAGUAAUGCCUAGGAAUCUGCCUGGUAGUGGGGGAUAACGUCCGGAAACGGGCGCUAAUACCGCAUACGUCCUGAGGGAGAAAGUGGGGGAUCUUCGGACCUCACGCUAUCAGAUGAGCCUAGGUCGGAUUAGCUAGUUGGUGGGGUAAAGGCCUACCAAGGCGACGAUCCGUAACUGGUCUGAGAGGAUGAUCAGUCACACUGGAACUGAGACACGGUCCAGACUCCUACGGGAGGCAGCAGUGGGGAAUAUUGGACAAUGGGCGAAAGCCUGAUCCAGCCAUGCCGUGUGUGUGAAGAAGGUCUUCGGAUUGUAAAGCACUUUAAGUUGGGAGGAAGGGCAGUAAGUGAAUACCUUGCUGUUUUGACGGUACCAAAAGAAUAAGCACCGGCUAACUUCGUG